rnacentral:rRNA from 1 species
CAUGCAGUCGAGGGGCAGCACAGGUAGCAAUACUGGGUGGCGACCGGCAAACGGGUGCGGAACACGUACGUAACCUUCCUUUAAGUGGGAGAUAGCCCGAAGAAAUUCGGAUUAAUACCCCAUAAGAUUGUGGAAUGGCAUCAUUCAGCAAUUAAAGAAUUUCGCUUAAAGAUGGGCGUGCGGCUGAUUAGGUAGUUGGUGAGGUAACGGCUCACCAAGCCAACGAUCAGUAACUGGCGUGAGAGCGCGACCAGUCACACGGGCACUGAGACACGGGCCCGACUCCUACGGGAGGCAGCAGUAAGGAAUAUUGGUCAAUGGACGCAAGUCUGAACCAGCCAUGCCGCGUGAAGGAUGAAGGUCCUCUGGAUUGUAAACUUCUUUUAUAUGGGAAGAAACCACUUUUUUCUAAAGGUGUUGACGGUACCAUAGGAAUAAGCACCGGCUAACUCCGUGCCAGCAGCCGCGGUAAUACGGAGGGUGCAAGCGUUAUCCGGAUUCACUGGGUUUAAAGGGUGCGUAGGCGGAUUAGUAAGUCCGUGGUGAAAUCUCCGAGCUUAACUCGGAAACUGCCGUGGAUACUAUUAAUCUUGAAUACUGUGGAGGUUAGCGGAAUAUGUCAUGUAGCGGUGAAAUGCAUAGAUAUGACAUAGAACACCAAUUGCGAAGGCAGUUGGCUACACAGAGAUUGACGCUGAGGCACGAAAGCGUGGGGAUCAAACAGGAUUAGAUACCCUGGUAGUCCACGCCCUAAACGAUGAUUACUCGACAUUUGCGAUAUACAGUAAGUGUCUGAGCGAAAGCAUUAAGUAAUCCACCUGGGAAGUACGACCGCAAGGUUGAAACUCAAA